GACGAACGCUGGCGGCGUGCCUAAUACAUGCAAGUUGAGCGCUGAAGGUUGGUACUUGUACCAACUGGAUGAGCAGCGAACGGGUGAGUAACGCGUGGGGAAUCUGCCUUUGAGCGGGGGACAACAUUUGGAAACGAAUGCUAAUACCGCAUAAAAACUUUAAACACAAGUUUUAAGUUUAAAAGAUGCAAUUGCAUCACUCAAAGAUGAUCCCGCGUUGUAUUAGCUAGUUGGUGAGGUAAAGGCUCACCAAGGCGAUGAUACAUAGCCGACCUGAGAGGGUGAUCGGCCACAUUGGGACUGAGACACGGCCCAAACUCCUACGGGAGGCAGCAGUAGGGAAUCUUCGGCAAUGGACGAAAGUCUGACCGAGCAACGCCGCGUGAGUGAAGAAGGUUUUCGGAUCGUAAAACUCUGUUGGUAGAGAAGAACGUUGGUGAGAGUGGAAAGCUCAUCAAGUGACGGUAACUACCCAGAAAGGGACGGCUAACUACGUG
rnacentral:rRNA from 1 species